rnacentral:rRNA from 1 species
GAGUUUGAUCCUGGCUCAGAUUGAACGCUGGCGGCAGGCCUAACACAUGCAAGUCGAGCGGUAGAGAGAAGCUUGCUUCUCUUGAGAGCGGCGGACGGGUGAGUAAUGCCUAGGAAUCUGCCUGGUAGUGGGGGAUAACGUUCGGAAACGGACGCUAAUACCGCAUACGUCCUACGGGAGAAAGCAGGGGACCUUCGGGCCUUGCGCUAUCAGAUGAGCCUAGGUCGGAUUAGCUAGUUGGUGAGGUAAUGGCUCACCAAGGCGACGAUCCGUAACUGGUCUGAGAGGAUGAUCAGUCACACUGGAACUGAGACACGGUCCAGACUCCUACGGGAGGCAGCAGUGGGGAAUAUUGGACAAUGGGCGAAAGCCUGAUCCAGCCAUGCCGCGUGUGUGAAGAAGGUCUUCGGAUUGUAAAGCACUUUAAGUUGGGAGGAAGGGUUGUAGAUUAAUACUCUGCAAUUUUGACGUUACCGACAGAAUAAGCACCGGCUAACUCUGUGCCAGCAGCCGCGGUAAUACAGAGGGUGCAAGCGUUAAUCGGAAUUACUGGGCGUAAAGCGCGCGUAGGUGGUUUGUUAAGUUGGAUGUGAAAUCCCCGGGCUCAACCUGGGAACUGCAUUCAAAACUGACUGACUAGAG